UUCAUUGGGACCACAGACAGGAUCACAGAGCACCCGGCCGGUCCCCCGGAGGAGAAGGGUGCGGCCGCACUCAUCAUCCUAGCCGUGCUGUGCGUGGCAGGGGUCGGGGCCGGGCCUGGGUGUGCAGAAGCAGGUGUCCCCGGGGCGGCUACGCAGGUGCCCAGACUGUGGGGCCCACGCUGGAGUUCACAGACCGUGCCUGAUUGGAACUCACCGCCUGGGACACAGAGGCGUCGGUGAGAGGGCGUCGGCCACUUGAGAAGGGACAGGCGCAGGCCAGGUGGCAAAGGGGACCGGAGCCCCUGCCCCAGGAGUGCUGUUGGCGAGCGCCCAGCGCUGACCCCAGGGCCCUGAGGGAGGCCCUCCCGGAGGGUCAGCAGCCCCGCAGCCGAGGCCCCAGAUGAGUGGGCCUCACCUGGCCACAUGCUCUCCCGCCCAGAGCCCAGGAGCAGCCGCGGCCGGCACAGGCCCUGCUCAGCAUGCCGAGCAGGCGAGGACACGGGCCGUUCUGAGAUGCGACGGGGGACUUUGGAUUCCCGGGAAGAGGGCAUUGCUGCUCCACUAGGACGUUUGCAGCACCUGUCAUAGGCGCUCCCGCGUGUGCACACGUGUGUGUGUGGGAGUGCAGGAAACGCCGGACACGGGAGCUUCCUUCUCCUCUGGGACAUUUGCUGGGAGGACGCCGUUCCCCCGAGGCCAAGAAUGGCUUUGGCCCAGGGAAGCCGCUCCAUAGCCUGCAGGGUGGGCGGCCCACGGCCGCAGACUCCGGAGGCGGCUGCAGGUGACAUGGGCACUGGACCAAGGCAGGACACGGUGGGCAGCUUGGCCUCUGUUUAAGAUGCAGCAUUGGCCCCAGGGCUGUGUCCCUGCCCAUCCCAGGACCAGUCGAGCUCAGGCCACUUGGUCCAUCGCCGCCGGACGCCUGUGCUGUGCAGCCCACGCCCCGGAGCUCCGAGGGACAGCGUCUCUGGAGGAUACCUCCCGUGGGCUCGGGCGUGUGGCGAGGGAUAGCAAAGCAGUAGGAGGUGGCCGUGCGCCGUGCCAGAGCUCCACGGUUGUCAUGAGCCGCAGUGGGCGCCACCCAGGGCCUCCACACUAGGACUGAGCGCUCGCUCCCCCUCAGCCUGAGUGUCCCCUGGAGAGGCUGGGGCUGCGGAUCUCGGGGCUGGGCGGUGGUGGCCACCAGCUUUGCCCGCCCCAGCUCUCCCCCACUGCUCCCCUGCGGGCGCCGCGGGCACCCUGGACUGCAGUGACCGCCCCAGCCCUGUCUCCCUGGGGUCCUAGCGGCCCCUGGGACCUGGGGCCGGGGAAGAGCCGCGCUUGUGCGUUCUGAGGCUUGCCCGGGUCCCGGCCCCUCGGCUGUGGCUCUCAGAACUGUGUGCGGAGAAUACAAGCCGUGAUCCACA